rnacentral:rRNA from 1 species
CUCCGCCGGCGACCGGCGCACGGGUGAGUAACACGUAUGCAACCUGCCCCUGUCAGGGGGACAACCCGCCGAAAGGCGGAUUAAUACCGUAUGUUGUCAUGUUGAUGCAUAUUUUCAUGACCAAAGGCUUCGGCCGGUAAAGGAUGGGGAUGCGUCUGAUUAGCUUGCCGGCGGGGUAACGGCCCACCGGGGCGACGAUCAGUAGGGGUUCUGAGAGGAAGGUCCCCCACAUUGGAACUGAGACACGGUCCAAACUCCUACGGAAGGCAGCAG